CGUUAGCGGCGGACGGGUGAGUAACACGUGGGUAACCUACCUAUAAGACUGGGACAACUUCGGGAAACCGGAGCUAAUACCGGAUAAGAUAUCGAACCGCAUGGUUCGAUAGUGAAAGAUGGUUUUGCUAUCACUUAUAGAUGGACCCGCGCCGUAUUAGCUAGUUGGUGAGGUAACGGCUCACCAAGGCAACGAUACGUAGCCGACCUGAGAGGGUGAUCGGCCACACUGGAACUGAGACACGGUCCAGACUCCUACGGGAGGCAGCAGGU
rnacentral:rRNA from 1 species